AAUCAACGCUGGCGGCGUGCCUAACACAUGCAAGUCGAACGCGAAAGCCCCGCAAGGGGUCAGUAGAGUGGCAAACGGGUGAGUAACACGUGGGUGACCUGCCUUCGAGUGGGGGAUAACGUCCCGAAAGGGACGCUAAUACCGCAUCAUAUGCUGCCUUUGAAGAGGUGGACAUCAAAGCUGGGGAUCGCAAGACCUAGCGCUUGAAGAGGGGCCCGCGCCUGAUUAGCUAGUUGGUGGGGUAAUGGCUCACCAAGGCUACGAUCAGUAUCCGGCCUGAGAGGGCGGGCGGACACACUGGGACUGAGACACGGCCCAGACUCCUACGGAGGCAGCAGUGGGGAAUUGUUCGCAAUGGGCGCAAGCCUGACGACGCAACGCCGCGUGGAGGAUGAAGACC
rnacentral:rRNA from 1 species